CAGGAGGCUAAGGCAAGAGGAUCACUUGAGAACACACAAGUUUGAGACUAGUCUGAGAAAUGUAGUAAAAUCCCAUCUUAAAAAUAAAUAUCCUACCUCCUACAUAUUUCCAUUUCCCAGCUUCUUCUUCUCCACCUCUUUUGGCCUGUUAUUGUCUUUCCUGACAGUUUUCUCCUACCAAAGGUUGCUACAAGUCAAUACUUUUGCCCUUAAAUGUCUCACUAAAAAAAUCUCAGGAAGCCACUCUUGCCCUAGGGAUGCCCUAAAUUAGGCAAAAGCAAUGCCAACCCUUGUAUAAGUCUUUUGAGGGAGCCCCAGGCAGGUCGAAACAUACAAGCACAAUUUAUUUGAGGAUAAGAUCUGUAUUGCUUCCUAUGCCACCUGCAACUGCACCAGAAAGUUGAGCCUGCCAUGUACAUGGCUCUUGGUAUUUCAGAGAGUAGGGGUUGUGGGAAGGUGAUUUAAAGUGCCAAAAUCCUAUCUUGCUAAAUAUAGCCAUUCCUUUUUGGUUUUAUUUUCCCCCGGGUGUUGUAAGUUUUUAAGUAGAUACAAGAGUUCUGCAAAUGUUAAUUCUUACUGUUUUUUUUUUUUCCACCUUAUUAGUUUUUUUCUGGACAGACGGAUUUUUCUUAGAGCUACCCACUCUACCAUAUUUGUCCAAUUCAUCAUGAUGUCUCACAGAGCAUGGUAUAAUUAAUCCAUGUUUCUGCUCAAUUUGAGCAGAGAGGAAAGCCAUGUUAAUUUGAGUGCUAAUUAUCAUGGAGCAUGUUACUUCUGGAAUGAUUCAUCCUACAUCCAGAGCAAAAGGAAUUUUUUGAUCUUCUCCCAGUCACUCACUGUGCUGGACUCAAGGGUAUUUAGUAGCCCUGAUCCCAGAAGAAAGUAGCCGACUAUUGAAUAACAUAAAGUGACAAAUUUGUCUCAGCUGCACAUACCUUUAUUAUUCUCUUUUUCCUUUUCUCUUUCUCUCUUUCUGAGUUUGUUAAAAUGCUUUUAACAUUCUAGAGGAAUCCAAGAGACAGUUUUUGAUAAGGAUAUAAAGCAUUCAUAUCAUCUUUAAUACUUAACAGUCAUUUCAUUCUAUGUUUCAAACAACUUGACCCAUACCCAAUGUCAGGACAAAGCCAGGAAAUAGACAAGGAUAAAUAGUAUGUGGCCCUAUCUUUACUUGGGACACAGGGAGUAGACAUGAUAAGGGUUCCAAUUCAAAAUAUUCCAUCCUGAUGUAAUUGUAUGGAGGAGAUUCACAGUAAAAAGAAGCAAUGUACUAUAAUCCUGUUCAUGACUUGUGUUCAUUAGCAAGAGAAGUUGAGCAAUUUCAAUAGCAUACAUUUCUGAGUCAUGGAGUACAUGAACUCGUGGAGUUAUUUUCUAAUUUCAGUGCUUAUUUUCUAAGCCAAGGCAGGCAACUCUGAAACUCAAUGGAUACUUAAACAUUAGAGUGGCUUAUUCACCAUGUCUGAUUAGACGAAUUCACCCCAGGUCCAUAUGAAAGACAAUCACAGUACAGGAGACCCCUUUCCUAGAAAAGGAAUCCAGACUAUCAUGAUCGAUGCUCCAGUGUUGUAUAAAGUUGGACUCAUAAUUAUGAAAUGGAAAAAAAUUAGAUUUAUUGUUACAAUUGCCCAUAAGGUCCAUUUGGGGAGUUGGGACUUGCAAAGUAAAAUAGCAUAUGUAGACAUAGUAGAGUGCAUACUG
rnacentral:lncRNA from 1 species